GAUGAACGCUGGCGGCGUGCCUAAUACAUGCAAGUCGAGCGAACAGACGAGGAGCUUGCUCCUCUGACGUUAGCGGCGGACGGGUGAGUAACACGUGGAUAACCUACCUAUAAGACUGGGAUAACUUCGGGAAACCGGAGCUAAUACCGGAUAAUAUAUUGAACCGCAUGGUUCAAUAGUGAAAGACGGUUUUGCUGUCACUUAUAGAUGGAUCCGCGCCGCAUUAGCUAGUUGGUAAGGUAACGGCUUACCAAGGCGACGAUGCGUAGCCGACGUGAGAGGGUGAUCGGCCACACGGGAAGUGGACCACGGUCCAGACUCCUACGGGAGGGAGCAGUAGGGAAUCUUCCGCAAUGGGCGAAAGCCUGACGGAGCAGCGCCGCGUGAGUGAUGAAGGUCUUCGGAUCGUAAAACUCUGUUAUGAGGGAAGAACAACUGUGUAAGUAACUAUGCACGUCUUGACGGUACCUAAUCAGAAAGCCACGGCUAACUACGUG
rnacentral:rRNA from 1 species